AGCAAAAUUAUGAUGUGAUACAGAGCUAUUAAGAGCUGGAGAGGCUGCUUCUGUCUUAUGCAAUUAUCUUAAAAUUAAGAUAAAAGCCUUCAAAAUGUCUUUCUUUGUUACCAGGCAUCUUUCAGGGGAAGAAGGCAAUUUUUUACCGAAGAGUAGAACAAACAUUGAGCUAAAAAUAGAGGCCAGGUUUGAGAGGUGUUCCAGAAUAAGAAACUUUUAUUAAGGCAAAUAGUAUGGUAAAAAAAAUUCUGUAGUUGUGAGGAAUCUAUUUAAAUAUGCAUGUGGCAACAGAUGUCCUCCAGAUGAGGCAAUGGGCUGUCUCCUUUUACCUCCUCCUAAGCAAUUCCACGUCCUGCAAACCCCCUGGGAUCAGAAAUGCCGCUGUCACCGCACAAGUCCGACUUCCCAUCUCUUUAGACAAGCACACACACUACCUGUCUUACCACAGGGCUUGUGCGUGCCCUGCACAGCAUCCGAGCUCACCUCCUGCUUUGCUGGUAGCAAGCUGCUGACUGAGCCCCUGGGGUUUAAGGAGGCUCAAACUCAUCUUUUAGAUGGAAACGCCUCCAGCAAGUGGCGGUUCUUCACGUUUUCCUCUAGGACACGUGGUGGCUGGACAGCCUCUGACACAGGGUCUUGAGAGAAAUACGAUGGUGCCGGACCUCUCUCAGCACUCAGGUUUGUGCUGGCAAUGGACUCUCCCUCCCGCCCUGCUUCUUGUAAGUUUGAAAUUAGCAGCAGAGAAAAGCAGGCUGUGCAAGUCCUCGGCGCUUGCGUAUGGGGCAGUGACAUCUGACACGCGAUCUGACAGCCUGGAGGGGCAGCAUCGGGUGGCCUGGACACCCCGUUGGUUCCUUGAGAGAUCUCUGGGAGAAGAGCCUAUUCCCCCUCUUCCUAGUCCCCAUUCUUCAUUCGUUCUUCUCAGGAAGCUGGCCAGCUUCAGUAUGUUUUUAAGCAGUUUCCCGCUGUUGAUGGAGCCAGCAUCUCGUUGGAUCAUACUAAAAGAACCCUUUAGACAGCCAUGCCCCUUGGGGCCCUACAGAGGUUGCGUUUGUCCUUUUAGUCCUUGUUGUUGGCUUCUGGUGCCCCUGUUCAGCUAUCAGGAUGUGGCACUGCGCAACACCUGGCACAGCCAGGUGCCAGGAGAUUAAAGCCUACCCCUAGCCGUGUGUGCACCCAGCACAGUGCUGGGGACAAAGGGAGACAGAGCAGGCCAGGAGCGGCGCGUGGGGCAGGCACACAAGCGCUCGGGAGUCGAGCUAUCAGCCACGUGCAGAGGCUGCUAGAUGUCCGAGAUAUGCGAGCCCUGCAGGUAUGGUUACACCGUGACCUGUUGGGUAAGAUUCAGGCCGGAGCCAGCGGUUAAGGGGUGAUCGAAGUGAGGGGUUUGGUUUGCUUCGUACCUGAUUUCUGCCCCCCAUCGCCUCUGGGGGGCACGCACAGCUAUCGGACACGAGCGAGCAGCUGAAGCAUCUUUUCCUCUGUCGCUGUGGGAAGCCCUGGGCUGUUUUGUUUUCAGACUCUGCCAGGCUGGGCUGAGUCACUGCCAUGCAGCAAACUGGGGCUUCCCAGGUAUUUGGCAGCGACGCUCGAGUCAUCUGUUUAAGAGCUUUCCUAAAUAAGCCAAGACUCUCUGAUGCAAGCGUAGCAGUCUCCCUCGCCCCCCUUUCCCAGGCAGCUUUUUGAGAACUCAGCUCACUUUCAAGUCCAGCUCUUCUCCCUGCAGUUUCGACAUCCUGCACCAGCAUCUGCCCUGGAGCUGUCAAGCUUAAACCCAAUUUCUUAGCAGCCGAUUUUAGUGAGCUGCUCACAGCAUUGCUGCAGAGCCAGAUCGCUGCUGAAGCCCUCCACAGGGCUGUAGGCAGGCUCUUGAAUCACUCGGUUCCGGGGAGCUUUGUGAUAUUCACAAGCGCUGUACUUUGCUGCUGUUUUCUGUAUGGCAGCCCUUCUCCCGGUGCCCUGGGAACAUGGUCACUCGCGGAGCGCUGGGCCAGGACUCGGUCACCAAAGCUGGUUGUCCUGCAAGAGGGUUGAGGACACAUCGUGGUCACUGCAAGCCUGGGCUGUGCCAGGAGGGGAGGAUGGGCAGGAAUGUGAGUCACAGCCCGCAGCUCCAGCGGGGCAGGUCACAAAACAAUCUCCUAUUCAGGCUUUAUUUCGGAGCAGCAAAGCAGAGCCUGAAUGUCAUGGAGUGGGUGCAAGGGCACGGGAGGCUGCAGCUCCAUGCAGGGAGGCUGUUGCUCCAUUCCCACUUAAUUCCCUUAGUGCCUCCCUCACCCACCUCGAUGUUGGCCACGCUGCAGGGUUCAGAGCAGGGCACAGCCUCGGGGCGUUGGUAGCACGUUGCGGCAGGGACUCCUCCGUCCUCCUCCUGCAGCACGCUUCUAGCUCCUCAUCUGUGCAGACUGGCAACCCUGGACUCGCGUGGGGAGACGCUGACCCAGCUCACCUCUCUCUUAAUGUGACUUUCAGGGGGAUCAGAGACCUCGCUCGUCUGCGCCGUGUCGCUGGGAACCUGCCAUCAGGCGCAGGGGCGAGCUGACCACGUCUCCCAGGAGCAGCUUCCAGCGGGAUUAGAUGAAGCUUCUCAUGAACGCACAGCCAGCAAAGGGGAUUAGAGAAAUAAGACUCCACUGUGAGGCUGAGAGAUGCAGGGGAACAAACAGGCUCGCCGUGCAGUCACUCCUCCUGACUGUAGAAAGCCAGAUUACAAAUAUUUUGUGUCUUGCUGCUCCCAGACCAGCAGCAUCGGUGGUUCCUGCAGCUCCAAAUACUCCAAACCCUACAGGUGGGAGCCUUGUUUGCUUGUACCGAGCCGACGCAUGGUUUGGUGCACAUCCACCCAGGAGAGUCAGGGCAGGCAGAGCCUGUGCAAGCACAAUGCCAGGGGAGAACCUCGAGCUCCUCGGUCCUGCUGCCACAGAACUACUCCCAGGUGUCUCCUAGAAGCUGCUGGUUGGAGAACCAGCCCUGCCCCGAACCAGCUCAGGAGGCACAUCCUGGGGCCACGUGCUGGGUCACGGUGCGGAGAGGCUCCUGCUGGUCCCUGAAGCUGACCCAGCUGAGCGCCAGCCCCGGUUUUGUGCGGGGAAGCUGAUGAAGCGAUUAAUAAUGCAGGGCAGCCUUCUGCCGAGUGCCACUCGCACUCUCCAGGAAGAGGAGAGUCACGCUGCGUUCCAGGGCAUCAAUAAUUCAGCCAAAGGUUGGGUUUCCUCUGGGAGGCUUGGCUGGCCAGCAGGAACGCUGGAUGCAUUCUCAGGGACCAAGCGGACAGGCAGGCUGACGGAGCAGGAGAGCAACACUCGGGCAACAGGCACAGAUUGCAAAACCCGCAGCCGUGCUGGACUGCAGUCAGGGCAGCUGCCAGCGUUUACAGCUUGGGGGAAAGCUGCUCUUUCCCCACACGAGUUGUUAAAGGCACUGCUGGGAAGCCAGGAGGGUGAGAGAGCAGAGCGGAGCGGAGCUGGACAUGUCCCUCUGUACUACAGCUACGGUAUCAGACAGGCUGUGCCUGCAGCCCAGCUACUUGAGGCCACCAAGGUUAGGGUUUAAAAUAUCACACGCGUUGUUUUCUUUGCUGAAAGCGUGACCGCCUUCCUCCCCUCUAAGCCAAGGGGAAUAAGUCCCACUGCUUCCACACAGAGCAGCCUGACUGCCUUGCGUCUCUUCCAGGCUCGUGUGAUCUCUCCACGCCUCUCCCCUUCAGCAGGCCCAGGCUGGAAGCCCUAACGGGGGGCUGCAGCCCCCUCACGGAGGAUCUAGUGGCAGAGAUCAGGCCCUCGUACCACUUGCAGGCUCACCAGCUUUUCCAGCUGGACGUUAUUUCUGAGACAUCUAAGGUGGAAUGCAGUCACCCUGCUGUCACAAGGAUCAAACAGAGGCCAAAGACCUUAAACCAGAAGUUGUCUGCUGCAUCUGCCACUAGAUUUGGGGCGCUGGACUUUCUGAAGCCUCCUAACGCCCAGGCUGUUAGAACAUUGCUCUUUCGGUGCUCAGAGGCACGGCAGAGUCAGAUUCAGCCCCUGUACAGGGCUGCUUUAGGAAAGAAGCCACUGCCACUUAGUCAGCAUCUAAAAACUACCUGGAUCUCAACGGCUUUGGACCAGAUACAGCGUAUGCUUCAAGUGUUUGGUCACCGGGAGUCAGGGAAGCCAGGCUGCGAGCCAAGUAAAACCGUGUUAGAGGACAGAAGGAAGCCAUUAACAGGACGGCUUUGUUAACUCAGGAGCAAAGCAUUUAGGAAAGUAAAAAACCUUGCCCUUGUGGAUUCAUAGAUGUGUUUCAAACAGAAACAGGAUCUGGCCUGUACCUCUUGCCUUCAAACCCUUUCCUUAAGUCACCUCCUGUUGUCUUGAACGUGAAGGUGUCCAGUAGGCAAGGCAUUAGCCCCAGCACGGGCAGCAAGCAGAGGGGACAGGUCUAUUUUAAUCACCAGAUUUGGAGAGAUGGGGAAGUCUGCCUUGCCUCAGGAGCUUCAGGACAGAACAAGUCAACCUAUAGCUGCCACUGGUAACUACAUUAGCAGUGGGAUACACACCCAAAAGCUCUACUCACGCUCGGGCAAUUUUGCCCAGAGCAAGUUUCCAUCAGAACUGACAGGAGACAGAUACCCACAAUUAUUUCCAGAUGUCCCUGAGAGAGCCUGGCUCGCAGCCUGGCUGGAACAGAGGCACCCAGAGCGUUACUUUGGAGGAAGAGACGCCGGUUCCUGUAGGGAGGCUGGAGCUGCUAUCAUCGCUUUCUCUGCGGAGGUUUGGGAUCGAGCCCACUUACUGGUACCUGGAAGGUGCAGGUGAACAAAGGCCGUAUUCUCCUUCAGUGAAGAUGAAGAGAGUGACCUGUUUGGAGUCUGUCUGCAGGAACCAGAGCUGUUAGGGACCUAACUGCAUCCCUGUGAGGAUGCCAGCUAGAUGGCUGUGAUUCACGGAGCCAGUGUCAGUGCGGCACACCCUCGGCUGGACUGCUGAAUCCUACACAAGCUCUUCAGCCACGCAGCUGUUAUCUGUAGGAUAUUUCCAGCUCGUUUCCCGCUCCCAGGGCAGCAGAUCUGACCACCACCUCCCUCUGCUUUACCUUCUGCUUUGCUUUUUUGAAGAGUGUUUUCUGGGAGCAUAAGAGGUGCCAUAAAGCCCACGGGACAGUGCCUUGUCAGGGUGCCACGUUAAGGUACUUACUGCAUACACAGCCUCAGAGAGUUGCUGCACAGCUUCUUUAUCACAGCUGUGCCUCUCCUGCUGGCAGUGGGUACAGGCUUGCCCACCCAGGAGCACACAAGCCCUGCAAGCUCCUAGCUCGGGUAGGCAGCUUGCUCCUCAGGUCGGAGAGCAGCAAACUGGUGCCUGAGCUACAAAAAGCCAUGUAAAGCUGGUGAUGGUUUGAGUUUUGUCAGGAGCCAGGUUAAGCCUAGGCCUAAAAUCCUUCCUGCUCUUCAGCCAGUGCCCACCUCAGGCUGUACUUGACAGGUUUCAAACAGGCUGAGCAGUGCUACAGCCCUUCUUUCAGUACCAGUUAGCUCUCGUGUGUUGGCCAGGCGUCUCCGCCAGACAGUAAUAGCUAAUGCUGUCUGAGCGGCACAGCACAUAAUGGCCAGUCCAUUUAUCUUCCAGUCGCUGCAGUUCCAGUAAAGCAUCGCUUUGUUAAAUGCCUGGAGCUGAAGAAAGCAUCCCUGGUGCUACAGAAGACGGAGCUUAUUCCGGCCAGGUCGUACUCCUCCCCUGGAAGAUCUGCUGUGCAAAGAGACUGCUACAAACCCAAUCCCUGCUGCCGGCAGCAGACCUCGGCUGUCGUCUCUGGCUCCUGGUGGUGACAGGGCGAUGCUCGCCCCUGCUGGAUGAGGGCUCUGUGGGACGGCCCCAAAUGGACCUACUUCUCCUCGGGAUUGCAUUUCAGGAGGUGGGGCUCUGCCCCGGCGAUGCGUCUCCUUCCCGGCUCCCCUGCUUGCACAAACACACGAGUGCUGUCCGCGAAUGCUAGUGACCAUUUCGUUUCAAGUAAUUACUACCUUAAUUAGUCACACGAAUAGUCGCAUCCAAGAUGAUUUGGAGUAGGUGUAGCAGGCAGAAGCCACUAUUUAUAAACGCCUCCUUGCUCUAGAACCGGCGUGCAGACACUGUUCCCAUGCCUGUCUCCUUCCUACGCUUUGAAGCUAAAAAACGCUUAUCAGAGACGUACAAUGAGGCUUCUAAACAUGCGAUUUCUUUGCAGCAUUUCUGCCUUUCUUCUGCCACCAAGGUCAUUUGCAUGAGAACAGCAUCUUUAAGCCUUCCAUCUGCUCCUUAUUUUGCACCUGUAGUUAAUAUUUCUCUUUUCAUAACACAUGACUCACUGGCAUGAUUACAGGAGAUGGUAUCUGUUUACAGGAGAGCGAUUCCUAAAAGAGCCAGGAUUACCCCGUGGCACAGACGGGUUGGACCGAGGCAGCGCUGCUCCGUUUGUUUAUCAACCCCCACACCUUGGGUAGAAAAGGAGCCCGGUCCUGAAGCCACCAGCUGGACUGGAGCUCUCAGGCAGGAUCCCAAACACCUCCGAUUUGCCUCUCCUCUCCUGCCUGACCAGGAGCAGUUUUCCUUUCCAGCUGUUACGCCUGGGGAGCGGACGGAGCCGGCAGCCACAUCUCACCACCUGCUGCACGCUUCGUUCCUCACGGGUAGCCAAGUUUCUUCUGUCUACAGUUUCAGGACAGCACUGCAGCCCCAGCAAGCUGCUGCUAGCAGGUUUGGGAAGGACGGUUUGAUGCUGCUGUAGUCCAGCAAGGCGCUACCUGCUCAGCCUCAGCGGCUCCUUCCCACCUCUAACAGCGCUGCGUUUUGUCGGGUCCUGGGAGCUCCUGCAACCUGACCUCCUGCGCGACUGAAACGCGACCCGUGAAAGGCUUCUACCACAUCUGCCUACCGAAAAGGAACAGUUCCUCAAUGGGGCUGGCCACUUGCCUAGACAGUUAGCUCAACGGCUAUUUGCAAGAUUUUUUUUUUUAAGAUAACAACCUUCACAAU